CCAUAUAUGAAGUUUGCUGGAGUAGAAAAUAAAUGAAAAGACGUCCCCGCCUUCUAGUCUCAAGACUUCAUUACAUUGGCUGACUUUACGCAUGCGUAAUCUCCUAGGGUCACAUUCGAGUCAGGUGUGGGAAAAUCGUCUGUGAAGAAAAUAGGUGUAUGUGUUAGUUGUGAAUGAUAGACAUCCUUCUUUGUAUUCAGGCAUGUUAUAUUUAAUUUUUCUGUAAGAAUAACCUGGAUAUCGUAUGUGAAUUUCUGUCUGUGAUGUAAAAUCGCCGGGGCAUGGCACGUGUGUAUAGGAACGUAGCAAUAUUUACCUUUCGGUGAAUCACGUUGUACGGAGAGUUAUUUCCCUUUGGAACAAUGGUGAAGGAUCAUGACAUUAUUCAGGCUGUUAAGGAUAGAAAUAUCCCAGCCUUGCACAAAUUACUGUCAAAAGCAGGAAAAUCCAACAAAAAGCUGAUAGGAGGCAGUAAGAGACUGAACAUUAAUUACCAGGAUGGAGAUGGAAUGUCAGCUUUGCAUCAAGCCUCUUUGAUGGGAAACCUUGAGAUGAUGCAGAUGUUACUGGAGUGUCAUGCUGAUGUCAGUAUCCAUGACAACAAAGGGAUGCUGGCGCUUCACUACGCCGCUUGGCAGGGCAUGUCUGACCCGGUCCACACCCUGCUACAAUGGAAGUCCCCAGUCAACGAGGUCUCCCAGGACGGGAAUACCCCCCUACACCUCGCCUGUCAGCAUGGACACUUUGAUGUGGUCAACCUCUUACUGCUCCACAACUCGUCCCCCACCCUACAGAACAAGGACAGGAAAACUCCAAUGGACCUGGCCUGUGAAUUUGGUCGAUACAGGGUUGUUGACUUGUUGCUGAGGAGCAACCUGUGUGCUCCGUUGCUGAUGGACAGUCCAGAGGACAUGAUGGACGAGAACAGUACGACGCCCCUUCACCUCGCUGCUAAAAACGGACAUAUUGAAAUCAUCCGACUGUUGCUACAAGCAGGAGUCAACAUCAAUCGCAGUACCCUGAAAGGAACCUCUCUCCAUGAGGCCGCACUGUGUGGGAAAAUUGAGGUUGUCCGCCUUCUUCUUGAUUGUGGCAUUGAUGUGAACAAGGCGAAAUUCUUACGACCAGACUGCCCUAGACAUCGUCAACUCCUACACUACCUCCAGAGCAGCCAAAGAUCUCAAGCAUCUACUGAAAGAGAGCUGAAAGACUCUGCUGUAAACGAUUUGACUGGUACUGCCAGCCACCUGUUAGCUAUAGGGGAACCAAUUGAUGAAGAAAAUAUGCCCAGUUUUUCAGGCAGCUUAGAUCCUCUUGACAUUGUGAAGCCUUGCUUGUUAUAACGUUGUAGAUAUCUAUUUUUCUUGAUAAAAUGCAGGAAAUUCUUAUCAAAGAAGUCGGGAAAAAAUAGUUUGUGUAGGUGUUAGAACAGAGGGAGGGGGCCUGGAAGGGGGUAGUGAUCAGUGAUGGACGUAUGGCCAAGCCUGGAUACUUCCCUCCUGAUACAGUAGUUCUCCUGGACAGCUCAGCUCACUUCUCUAACCACAUUAUUGAGGGAAAGCGGGUACAUAUGCCUAGUGUGCCAGACCUGUUGAAUCGCAGUCCAGGAUAUCAUCAGACUGGUGUGGGGAGCCCAUUCAGCCCGGGAGCCCACGCACCCCCCAGCCCGGGGUAUCUGAAUAGCCCGGUGUGGUGCCCACAAACCAGUUUGGGCAUGGACCACUCAUUUCCCCCACCCCCAGCAAUGUUCUCACCCAGCUCACCAUUCAGGAAAGAUUGGGACGGUGGUAAUUCCUUCAGUUUUCCACAUCAUCAGACUUACAGACUGUACAACACUUCCUCAGAGAACUUGAAUGGCCGAAUCGUGAACCAGAAUGGUGAACAGAUCGGCGAGUGGUCAUCGUCACUUCCUGCGUUCGCUGGUGACAUAAGGAAUGCAGGACAUGGAAAAGGAAGCCCGACUAACAGUAACCGUAACAGCGGAGCAAGCAGCGACAGUGGUAGAGGAUACAGUACGGGACAUCUAGAUCACGCCAACGCCAACGUCAAGCCUCCUCAGAAUUUUGGCAAUGUCCAGGUAAACAACAACCACCGCUUGUCCAGUCAGAGUUACGAGUCUGGAGUGUCCUCCCGCCAAAGCUACCACAGCACGUCAAGUUCCAGCGUCGGGAGUCUCGAUCGUCUGGAGGAAUCCGGACAGAUGAGCACCAUCAAUGUGGCGGCCUUGUUCCAGGCCGGAAUGCCUGACCAUGAGGUGAUGAGGGUGUGGCUGAGAGACCUCCGGUUUGAGGAGUACUGUAUUCUGUUUGUACAGGCCGGCUACGACAUGCCUACCAUCUCCCACAUGACCCCUCAGGAUCUGUCAGCUAUUGGAAUCACGAAACCUGGCCACAGGAAACGACUGAAGGCAGAAAUAGCUCGCCUGAAUAUUCAUGAUGGGAUCCCGGAUUUCAAACCGGUUGACAUGAUGGAGUGGUUACACAUGCUGGGACUAGAGCAGUAUUACAAUACCCUGUCACAGCAGGGAUACGAUGACCUUGACAAGGUCACGGACAUCACUUGGGAGGACCUGGAGGAAAUAGGCAUCCAGAAACUAGGUCAUCAAAAGAAAAUAAUACUAGCUAUAGAACGCCUUAAGAGAAUUAAUUCUAACAGUAAACGACUUUCAUCGAUGGACAAGAGUGGGCACAGUGAAAUAAUUGACCCUCCCCCACCACUAGGCCAUGCCAGAUGGUCGGGGGACGAUUACCCCUCAUCUCCAUUCAAAACAAAGAAAUCUCUGUCAGGUGACAAUUUGAACAGUGACCGUUAUUCUCAAAAGAGUGACCGAUUCUCCCAGCACAGUGACAGCAGCCUGGAGUUUGUGUCUCAUAGCCCCAGCACCGGGUACCAGCCAGACGUAGUGGCCAUACAGGUCAAACGCCACGCAUCCAACUCCGAGUCGCCCAAGGAAAUGUCGGGGGUGAGGAUUUCAUCGUUUCAGGCAGCACCCUCAUCAGUUCGGGAGGACCGAGACAGCACCCCUACAGCAGAGGAGGAGAUGACACAAUACCCAGCCCCCAUUGUGGCCCCGUCAGUACCAAAGGCUGUUAUCAAACCAAAGCCAGUUGCCAAGAUUAUUGCCAAAACAAAGAGAAGCAGCAAGGAAACUUCACCAGAAAUCAUUGACAUAGAAAAAUAUGAGGCAGAGAAAAAUUACGAGUUUGGGAAAAGUCCUGGGAAAGCUUUUCUCAUUAAUUCAGCUAUGUUAAAGAAAACAGGACAGUCAGAUCACAUAUACGAUCAGCCUAGAACGCAGAAUGCUCCCAUGUCACCCAAAUCUCCGACCACCUCUAUGUCUCACCCAUUCCCUGCUCCCCCCACAGGACCCGUGUUUGUGGCAGUCUCCAAUCAGAAUGGGUCUCCACAGCCUCAGAAUUCACCCAACAAUCGGAAGGUUCCACCCCCUCCCCCUCCCAAACGCACCAACUCUGUCUCCAGCAGGCAGGACACAAACUCAUCAAGGUACGCUGGGAGCAUACCCAAAUCUGCUUUUCAAACCACUGAUCAAAACGCUCAAAGGACCACAACUAUGUCACCUAGGAAUCCAUCACAGCCUACUCCUAGGAGGGGCUCUGUAGGAGAGGAAAGAAAUGAGCAGAAACAACUGGCUUUUGCAUCAUGUGUUCAAAGUUUGUCUGCGAAAUUUGGCAGUAAACGGAUGGAGACAAGUUCAGAAGAUGUGAGCAGUUCUGAUGGUGAGGAUUUUCCUCCCCCUCCUCCUCCAAUAGCAAUGGACAUUAUCACUCCAAAAAUUCACAACUAUGGCAUACCUAGCAAAGAUGAAAAGACACCUGCUGAACUAAGAGGAAUGGGCAAGUUAGGGCAGUCUUCAACAAAUGGAAAUUCUUCAACAAGUAACAUUAACAACUCAACAGAAAAGCCAAAUUCGUUCACAUACAAAGCUCCUGUUCUAAAACCGGUCACAGAGAAUUCACCAUCUCCCCAGGUCCCUGCUUUGCCAAAUGUUACCCACAAUCCCCCUGUUCUUAAUCAUGUGACUACAACUGCCCAAUCAAAACCCCAGGUUCAGAACUCUCCCAGAGUUCAACAUAUUUCACAUGAACUCAAAAGAAAGGACUCCACUUCCAGUUCAGAUUCCAUAGUGUCUGCGUCUAGUGUAGACUCAAACACCUUGCCAUUCGCCAAUGAAAACGUGGGAACAAUAAAGCAGCGAGCUCCAACCACGAAGCCCUCCAUUGUGCCAAUCAAUGAGAGUACAGACUCGGUCGCUCAGGGCAACGGACAGGGAUUCCCCAGCCAUCAACGAGUCUUACCCACACUGCCACAGAAAGCAGGAAUCCCCUCUCACCUCAAGGAACUCGGCAAAGGACCAAGACCCUCUGUUCCGAUGAAGCCAAACGCCUCCCCACCUGUUCCAGCCAAACCCAAAAAAAAAAAGAAUGAUGAAGAUGUUCUCAAUGACAUUGACAACAUGCUACAGGGUCUGACUGAGGAAUUGGAUGCCAUGUUGGAGGAAGAACUCGUCUUGGACGAGUGAUUCUGUCACGCUUUACCAAAGAAAGUGGAAUGAACAAGAACUACGAUGUCAUACGUGUUAUUUAUUCUAUGAACUUUGAUUCACUUUUCAUAUUUCAAGUGCAAAUACUUUGAACAGUCUUCAUUUAUUAUCAUCUGCUUUAUUCAUUUAAAACAUGACUUCAUCUCCAUCAAUUGUCUUCUCUGAUUUCAUUGGAUAUAUCAUGUAGCCGAUUUCAAGUAGCUGAUCACCAUUAUUAUUGGAGGAGGUGUGAAUUUCAUCAAAGAAUUUCCCUGUGGAAAGUGAAUUUAUUUAUUUUAGUGUUAUUCAGAUGGAGAAAUUUUAAUGUAAUAUUAUGGUUUUAAAGUUGAGAACCUGUGACUACUAGAGCCAAAUCUGUCGUCGUGCUUUUAUCAGUGCUCAGUAUCAUUGAUGUGACACCGUUUAAUUUAAGAAUUUUUAAUGUGUUUGAAACUGUGUUACUAGUCAGUUUGAUUGUCAAAGGAAAAAAAGAUUUAUACAUAUUAUUACAUGUGUCUGUGAUAACUAUAAGUGUACUGUGUGUAUGAUUGGAGGGUCAGAUCUGGACAGCCCUGUCUGUCCGUGUGUCUGUGUCUUCCCUCCGCUAACUUCCUGUUUGUCAUAUGAUCUGAACGCCUCACAAGUAUUCACAAAUCUCUUCCUUUCUAGACAAACUUGCUAUUUUGAUCUAUGAAUUUUGUGUAUAUUUGCAUUUCAUCAUGCUUUUGCUAGUUAAGGUUAUUGCAUUUUUUUAUAAUUCAGAGAUUAAUAUCGAAUUAUUAAUUCUUCUCAAUAUGAUAUACCUCUCACAAGCUAUGCACUAAAAUUAUUCAAGGAAAUUUGACUGAAAUAAUAUGGCAGAUGUAACUUUCACAAAUUAAAUCAACAAGUAAUAAAGUUGAAGUUCAGUGCUUUGAUAAUUGUAUGUAUGUAUUUUACUGUGAUUCGAUCUCAGAAGAGCUGUCUUUUAAAACCUUGUGUGUGCUGUUAGAGGAAAGGCAAUAUUUUUAGAAUGGUUGUGACAAUAGCAUAAUAAUUAUGUUUAAUGACUUUUAUUGCUGUAGGCCUAAUGUUUAGAGAACUAGAAUAAAAAUGACCAUUUGACAGUUGGGACUACAGACUUAGUAUUUCAAAUGAAUACCGUUUUAGACUUACAAAAGUAAUUUCCAUUCUAUACCUGUACCAAUUGACCAAGUCCUCUACAGACAAAUUUUGUGAUUUGUAAUUAUUAAAUCAUUUGAUAAGUUAAAACUAAUGUGUAAAGAUGUAUUUUAUGCUGUAUGAAACCAAAGUCCUGAUCAAUAGUGACACAAUACAAAGAACAAUGGGAAUCUUUCUGUAAAUCUCUGGUCACAUUGUACUACAUUGUCUGCAGAAAUUGUCUUCAAUUGAGACUGUCCUUUCGUUAAUUUCGAGACGGGAAGAUAAUGUUUGUAGAUCAAAAUUGGGUGACCAAAACUCAUUUUUACCAGUAACUGUAUUCAUGUUUUACAUUCUGUUUUUAUAAUAAUCAAUUUUCCUGUACAUGUCCCUCUGUAUUGAAAAUAAUUGAAAGCGACUCUCCUUGUAACAAUAAUGUCACUUUGUGAUGCCUUUUCCUUCUUGUGUAACAGGAACAUUGUAUUACUCAUGAGGUUUACAUUAUUUCACAAUUACAUAAAAGUGCCUGAAAGUAGUUCAGUGAUGAAGGGAGAUAAUUUAGGAACUGGAAAGAGAAGACUACUGGUGUUUACUGAUAGAAAUAUUGCGAUUAUUACGGGCAUUGGGAGUUUGUUAUUUUGUGUUUUUUGUUACUGUUACUGACUUAACAUACAGCUGUAUUUAUGGAUACAGCUCAUGCAAAGAUGUAUAAAAUAAAUGUCUCAGAAUACAUA
rnacentral:sRNA from 1 species